UACGAAGGGGGCUAGCGUUGCUCGGAAUUACUGGGCGUAAAGGGCGCGUAGGCGGACAGUUUAGUCAGAGGUGAAAGCCCAGGGCUCAACCUUGGAAUUGCCUUUGAUACUGGCUGUCUUGAGUUCGGGAGAGGUGAGUGGAAUGCCGAGUGUAGAGGUGAAAUUCGUAGAUAUUCGGAAGAACACCAGUGGCGAAGGCGACUUACUGGACACAUAUUGACGCUGAGGUGCGAAAGCGUGGGAAGCAAACAGG
rnacentral:rRNA from 1 species